rnacentral:rRNA from 1 species
GGGUCUAAUACUGGAUACGACCUUCUGGCGCAUGCCAUGUUGGUGGAAAGCUUUAUUGUGGUUUUGGAUGGACUCGCGGCCUAUCAGCUUGUUGGUGGGGUAAUGGCCUACCAAGGCGACGACGGGUAGCCGGCCUGAGAGGGUGACCGGCCACACUGGGACUGAGACACGGCCCAGACUCCUACGGGAGGCAGCAGUGGGGAAUAUUGCACAAUGGGCGCAAGCCUGAUGCAGCGACGCCGCGUGAGGGAUGAAGGCCUUCGGGUUGUAAACCUCUUUCAGUAGGGAAGAAGCGAAAGUGACGGUACCUGCAGAAGAAGCGCCGGCUAACUACGUGCCAGCAGCCGCGGUAAUACGUAGGGCGCAAGCGUUAUCCGGAAUUAUUGGGCGUAAAGAGCUCGUAGGCGGUUUGUCGCGUCUGCCGUGAAAGUCCGGGGCUUAACUCCGGAUCUGCGGUGGGUACGGGCAGACUAGAGUGCAGUAGGGGAGACUGGAAUUCCUGGUGUAGCGGUGAAAUGCGCAGAUAUCAGGAGGAACACCGAUGGCGAAGGCAGGUCUCUGGGCUGUAACUGACGCUGAGGAGCGAAAGCAUGGGGAGCGAACAGGAUUAGAUACCCUGGUAGUCCAUGCCGUAAACGUUGGGCACUAGGUGUGGGGGACAUUCCACGUUUUCCGCGCCGUAGCUAACGCAUUAAGUGCCCCGCCUGGGGAGUACGGCCGCAAGGCUAAAACUCAAAGGAAUUGACGGGGGCCCGCACAAGCGGCGGAGCAUGCGGAUUAAUUCGAUGCAACGCGAAGAACCUUACCAAGGCUUGACAUGAACCGGAAUGAUGCAGAGAUGUGUCAGCCACUUGUGGCCGGUUUACAGGUGGUGCAUGGUUGUCGUCAGCUCGUGUCGUGAGAUGUUGGGUUAAGUCCCGCAACGAGCGCAACCCUCGUUCCAUGUUGCCAGCGGGUUAUGCCGGGGACUCAUGGGAGACUGCCGGGGUCAACUCGGAGGAAGGUGGGGACGACGUCAAAUCAUCAUGCCCCUUAUGUCUUGGGCUUCACGCAUGCUACAAUGGCCGGUACAAAGGGUUGCGAUACUGUGAGGUGGAGCUAAUCCCAAAAAGCCGGUCUCAGUUCGGAUUGAGGUCUGCAACUCGACCUCAUGAAGUUGGAGUCGCUAGUAAUCGCAGAUCAGCAACGCUGCGGUGAAUACGUUCCCGGGCCUUGUACAC